rnacentral:rRNA from 1 species
UACGAAGGGGGCUAGCGUUGCUCGGAAUCACUGGGCGUAAAGGGCGCGUAGGCGGCCUUGCAAGUCGGUUGGUGAAAGCCCGGGGCUCAACCCCGGAGGUGCGGCCGAGACUGCAGGGCUGGAGGCCGGAAGAGGAGGGUGGAAUACCCAGUGUAGAGGUGAAAUUCGUAGAUAUUGGGUGGAACACCGGUGGCGAAAGCGGCUCUCUGGUCCGGACCUGACGCUGAGACGCGAAAGCGUGGGGAGCAAACAGG